GUCUUUGGAGACAUUGAGAAGGAGGAUACCCAAGAAGAUGGGGCAGUCUUUGUGUGAAGAGUGGACUAGGCAGCUGAAGAGUUGCCACAGGCUUUCAGGGGAUCACCAAAUCUGUGCAAAUCCUUCAGAUGAACAAGCCCACCCUAUGAAAUGCUUAAUCCAGGUGAUGGAGAAAGAAGAAAGAAAGGUUACCCAGAGGUUUUGGGAAGAUAUUGUCUGAUGUGUCCGCAGAGUGGGACCCUGUUUGAGAGCUUUGGUCUGUGUAAAACCUGCCUGCCCACCACAGGGCCCUCGUGGGGAUAUAUCCAUGCAACACCUGCCUGCCAGGGAAGGACUGAUGCCACUCGACAGAUGGAGGUGCCCAUAUUGCAGUCACACAACAUUCCACAGCCUCAGUCUUCCCAAAAUCAUCCCACUGCUGGGCACAGAGAGGAGGGGCAGGCUCUCACAUCACCAACUGUGACUGCAGAGGCUUGAUACAUCAAGAAAACUUCAGAGGAGUUAUUAUUGCCUCACACCAAUGGCCACACCAGAGGUCACAUUUAUUGUCCUUGCUGGAGCAUGGGAAAGAGGUGACAUGAAUUUUAACUUACAUGUUUGCACAGGCAAG